rnacentral:lncRNA from 12 species
UUUAAAUUGAAAGAAUAUGCCUUUAAUAAAACUCUGCCUCUUCUUAUUAAAUGAAAUGUUGAAAAUACAGUCUUUAGACUGUUGGAAGCUCCAGUGAUGUUUUCUUCAGUGGAUUUGGUCUUUAAUGUCACCACAUGUUUCUUUUGUGCUUUAUUUUAGUUAAAUAUGGUGUUUGUGACAGUGAUACAGUUUAAAUGUCGGCACGAGUCACUUGCAUGUGUCUCGCAUUUGGUCUUGCCAAGUCCUUGCCAACCACACUUGUUUGGUUUUUCAUUGUUAAUUCUAUUCUUUUGUCUGAUUGUGCAAACAAAGGCAAGAGAGGCAUUACAAGCAUCUUCCGUAUACAUAAAUAAGCCAUCUAACCAUGAACCACUGGAGCGCCCAACCUCUCCUAUAGAGGACGAACAAGAGGAGAAAGCUGAUGAGAUUCCCUGGGAGGAACGCUAUGAGAAAAUCUGGGUGGAUAAUGAAAAAAAGGAUACCAAGUCCCAAUAUAAAAACGUGGCUGCUGAACUAAAAGAGAGGUUUGGAGAACUGGAGCACAAGGAACCACCAAGUAGGCUUUCGGAGCAGGAGUGGACAGAAGAUGAACAAUAUGAUGAGGUGGAAAAGGAAGCAGAUGAUGAAGAUUCCAGUGAGGAAGAUGGAGAGCUAAUAGUGCGACCCACCGCGCGGGCGAGAAGUGCCAUACUUUUGCCCAUCCCAGAGCAGAGAGAGUCAGGCCUGGAGGACUCACAGUCUGAAAGUGUCCACCGCACAAUUAGUGUUGAGGUCAGUGAUGCAGAGCUUCCCAGUGACCACCACAACCCCCAAAUCAUCCCAGAAGUCCUAACAGAUGAGGACCAGGAGCCAGAGAAACGAGCGGAUGACAUUGAGGAACCUGAUAGUGGAAGCAAAGAAAAGUGUCCACUAGAUUCUGGAAGCAACAUAGAUGAAGAACCUGAACUUCACAGACCUUCAUUGCAUGUUGAGAAUGAGCUACAAAUCCCACAUAAAUUUCUAGAAGCGACCCCUUCUGACUCCGAUGAGGUUGGCGAGGGCUUGUGGAAGUCCAGACUUGAGGGUGGUAAGGAACAGGCGGAUGGCAUGAGGGGAGAACACCAGCCCGGUGUUUUAUGGGAUACUAGAGGAACCAGAGAACGAGGUGAACUUGACCAAGGAAAAGGGAAGAAAACUGACACCAACUCUGGGAACCCAAAACCUAAACAGGACGGGAUGGCUGACAGCAGGUCUUUGGGAAGAGAGGGUAGUGUUUCGCCAAGACAUCUGACAAGAAGUCAGAGAAGGUACAUAUGUCACAUUACUAGAUGGAAUUAAUGUGAAGGGAGAUGUUUUUGUAAUGCAAUCAUGUAGAAGAACUUACUGAAAAAAUUACUGAGGACACCUUGAAGUAAAGAGCUUUCAGCAAACAGCCAUGGCUUAGAGAUCAAAACACGUUUUUACAAAUUUAUUUUCUUUCUAUUUCUAAAGUAUAUGCAUGCAUAAUAAAAAUAUAUAUAAUCAUGGAAUGCAAGUAUUGUGUUUUUUUUUAUUUUGUCAGUUACGUUUCAUGCUAAUAGAAUACAACAAUAUUGCCAUCAGGCUUUUGCUGAAGCUUUGAAUUUGCUUCUGGUGUCAUCCUUGCCAUUUUAUUUCUGGGUGUUUCCGUGGUGGAGGGCAUUCAGUUGCCAAUUUUUUGUUCAAACUUCUUGAUGAGAUCUGUGCACCUCCAGUACUGACAGGGCACCACCACAUGGUGAGGAAGAUGAGGAGGAGGAAAAGAAAACUGUAGGUAGCCAAGCCAGAAAUCUCUGUGUAGCUCCCCCUCUGCAGGGCAAACCCUCCCGACCUGCGACCCGCCAUAACGGAGACCUCGAGUCUGUCUUUGAUGAUAGUACUUUAAGUGAGCUGUCGGAAGAGGACAGGAGGUAUACAUGCAGUAUUUACAUGCUUUUAAAUAUAAUGAAUUAUUUACAGCUCAAUUUUAUACGUUGCAGUGUUGCAGCAGCAAUAUUUUAAGUAUAACCUGGCCUGCACAGAAUCUGUGCCCGCAGAACUCUACCAAAUUUGAACACCUGUAAAAUUUACACCUGCAAUGCUUACACCAACAAUCAGUGCAGAAUAAAUUAAAACAAAAAAAAGUGGGCAGAUUCCUUAUGGGCCUUGUUAUAACGUGUAUUUUUUCUUUUUUAAGGGAAUACUGCAUUAUAUCCUCAUUUUAGAGCACCAAACUUGCUCUCCGGUAGACUGGUGUUGUCAGAUAAAGCUUAAACCAUGUUUACUCUGUUCUGACAGGUCCCCGUCUUUAAGGCCUAAGAAAGAACAGGUGAGCUUUUGUCCUGAUAAGGUAAAUCUCUAAAUAUGAGUGUUUGUUUAAUGUUUUAAGACCACAGGUUACCAAACUGUGCUCUGGCUUUUGAGAAUAUGAAGUUGUUACAGUUUAACACAGGAUACUCAAUGUUAGGGGUCAACCUAUUAUCGGCGCCGAUAUUAAGCAGUUUUAUGGUUAUUGGUUUCACAACAAAUUUGCCGAUAAAAUAAUUUUAAAGCAUUUAAAGAAAGUUUUUGUCAGAGCCCUUGUUGUUCUUAAUUUUGAAAUUUUAAAUUUUUACACCAGACAUAUAUAUCUGUUCAAAAUAUCGGUUUAAUAAUCAGUAUCUGAAAAACACAUAUCCGUCGAUCCCUACUCGGUGUCAUACAUGUGUUGUAUUGACUUUAAUGUCUCCUACGCAGAGCACUGGAGAGCUAGAAACAGCGGAUGAUUUUGAAGAUCUCACUCAGUCUUCUGACACAGCCACUGAGGAGCUGGAGACUCCAGUAUCUGGAUACCGCAAUGCUUCUCUUCUCUUCAAACAACUCGACUCAAGCUAUCUGGGUGAGUCGGUCAGCUCCAGUCAGCUGAAAGCAAACAGUUAAGUUCAGAUGUUCAGAAAAUGAAGAUGUGCACCUGUUUCUUAUGUCUGUCCUGCAGACUCUGUGA